rnacentral:rRNA from 1 species
UUUUAUGGAGAGUUUGAUCCUGGCUCAGGAUGAACGCUGGCGGCGUGCCUAAUACAUGCAAGUCGAGCGAACAGACGAGGAGCUUGCUCCUCUGACGUUAGCGGCGGACGGGUGAGUAACACGUGGAUAACCUACCUAUAAGACUGGGAUAACUUCGGGAAACCGGAGCUAAUACCGGAUAAUAUAUUGAACCGCAUGGUUCAAUAGUGAAAGACGGUUUUGCUGUCACUUAUAGAUGGAUCCGCGCCGCAUUAGCUAGUUGGUAAGGUAACGGCUUACCAAGGCAACGAUGCGUAGCCGACCUGAGAGGGUGAU